GAUGAAGAACGUAGCGAAAUGCGAUACUUGGUGUGAAUUGCAGAAUCCCGUGAACCAUCGAGUCUUUGAACGCAAGUUGCGCCCGAAGCCAUCAGGUUGAGGGCACGUCUGCCUGGGCGUCACAUAUCGUUGCCCAAUGCCUAUUGCAGUGCAAUAGGAAUUUCUAGGGCGAAUGAUGGCUUCCCGUGAGCGUUGUUGCCUCGCGGUUGGUUGAAAAUCGAGUCCUUGGUAGGGUGUGCCAUGAUAGAUGGUGGUCGAGUUAGAACGAUACCGAUCAUGUGCAUGCUCCCCAAAAUAUGGCCUCUAUGACCCACACGCGUCUUUUGACGCUCAUGACGAGACCUCAGGUCAGGCGGGGCUACCCGCUGAAUUUAAGCAUAUCAAUAAGCGGAGGA
rnacentral:misc_RNA from 1 species